UACGAAGGGGGCUAGCGUUGUUCGGAUUUACUGGGCGUAAAGCGCACGUAGGCGGAUCGUUAAGUCAGGGGUGAAAUCCUGGAGCUCAACUCCAGAACUGCCUUUGAUACUGGCGAUCUUGAGUCCGGAAGAGGUGAGUGGAACUCCUAGUGUAGAGGUGGAAUUCGUAGAUAUUAGGAAGAACACCAGUGGCGAAAGGCGGCUCACUGGUCCGGUACUGACGCUGAGGUGCGAAAGCGUGGGGAGCAAACAGG
rnacentral:rRNA from 1 species